rnacentral:rRNA from 1 species
CCUACGGGAGGCAGCAGUAGGGAAUAUUUCACAAUGGGGGAAAGCCUGAUGCAGCAACGCCGCGUGCGUGAAGAAGUAUUUCGGUAUGUAAAGCGCUAUCAUCAGGGAAGAAGAUGACGGUAACUGAGUAAUAAGCCCCGGCUAACUACGUGCCAGCAGCCGCGGUCAUACGUAGGGGGCGAGCGUUAUCCGGAUUUACUGGGUGUAAAGGGAGCGUAGACGGCAUAGCAAGUCUGAAGUGAAAGCCCAAGGCUAAACCAUGGGACUGCUUUGGAAACUGUUAAGCUAGAGUGCUGGAGAGGUAAGCGGAAUUCCUAGUGUAGCGGUGAAAUGCGUAGAUAUUAGGAAGAACACCAGUGGCGAAGGCGGCUUACUGGACAGUAACUGACGUUGAGGCUCGAAAGCGUAGGGAGCAAACAGGAUUAGAUACCCCUGUAGUC